CUCCCGGGCGCCGGGCUCCUGCCGGACUGGACGGACAGACCGACCGACGCGGGCCACCGGGCUCUCCUCGCCGCCGGCGCGGCGGGCGCGGGGCCGCGCGGGGACGCCUGAUCUCUGCAGCGCGGGCGAGUGGCCGCGCGGAGCGGAACCAGCCAAAGGCGCCCGGACGCCUGCAGGUGAGAGUGAUUUCCCAGCGAUUGCUUCGGCCGGUACAACCAGAGAACAGGAUUCUUUUCUUUUUGGCUGCUAAAUGCCUCUGUAUUCCACACUUUCCAGUGAGGGGAGAAGGCUGGAGCUUCUUGGAUGAUGAUGGAUAUUCCGCUGGGCAGGAUGAGGGCAGAGUGUGUGACAUCAACACCACAAGGGUAAGAGCUGCCUGUCUGGUGUUUUCUCUGAUGCCAGCAUUUACCAAAGGAAGGGGAGAAAAACCUAGUGACAGAAAUGAGGGUUAAGCAUCUGGGAGACUCUUCAGUUUGUAAACAUCCAUGGGGCAGUUGGGGUAGAUGACUGAGGAAGGAAGGGAGAGGGCUGGCCUGGAAGGACUGGGUUGCUGUGUGCUGGGAGACACAGCAGGUCAACUUUGGAAGAUCCUGUUGUCCACAUGGCCCACCCUCUUUUGUGGUUAUAGUUCACACUUGAG
rnacentral:lncRNA from 1 species